UCAGGAUGAGCGCUGGCGGUAUGCUUAACACAUGCAAGUCGAACGGUCUCUUCGGAGAUAGUGGCGGACGGGUGAGUAACGCGUGAGAAUCUAGCUUCAGGUCGGGGACAACCACUGGAAACGGUGGCUAAUACCGGAUGUGCCGAAAGGUGAAAGAUUUAUUGCCUGAAGAUGAGCUCGCGUCUGAUUAGCUAGUUGGUGUGGUAAGAGCGCACCAAGGCGACGAUCAGUAGCUGGACUGAGAGGAUGAUCAGCCACACUGGGACUGAGACACGGCCCAGACUCCUACGGGAGGCAGCAGUGGGGAAUUUUCCGCAAUGGGCGAAAGCCUGACGGAGCAAUACCGCGUGAGGGAGGAAGGCUCUUGGGUUGUAAACCUCUUUUCUCAGGGAAUAAAAAAAUGAAGGUACCUGAGGAAUAAGCAUCGGCUAACUCCGUGCCAGCAGCCGCGGUAAUACGGUGGAUGCAAGCGUUAUCCGGAAUGAUUGGGCGUAAAGCUUCCGCAGGUGGCACUGUAAAGUCUGCUGUUAAAGAGGAAGGCUCAACCUUGUAAAGGCAGUGGAAACUACAGAGCUAGAGUACGUUCGGGGCAGAGGGAAUUCCUGGUGUAGCGGUGAAAUGCGUAGAGAUCAGGAAGAACACCGGUGGCGAAAGCGCUCUGCUAGGCCGUAACUGACACUGAGGGACGAAGGCUAGGGGAGCGAAUGGUAUUAGAUACCCCAGUAGUCCUAGCCGUUAACGAUGGAUACUAGGCGUGGCUUGUAUCGACCCGAGCCGUGCCGGAGCCAACGCGCUAAGUAUCCCGCCUGGGGAGUACGCACGCAAGUGUGAAACUCAAAGGAAUUGACGGGGGCCCGCACAAGCGGUGGAGUAUGUGGUUUAAUUCGAUGCAACGCGAAGAACCUUACCAAGACUUGACAUGUCGCGAAUCUUCUUGAAAGGGAAGAGUGCCUUAGGGAGCGCGAACACAGGUGGUGCAUGGCUGUCGUCAGCUCGUGUCGUGAGAUGUUGGGUUAAGUCCCGCAACGAGCGCAGCCCUCGUUUUUAGUUGCCAGCAUUAAGUUGGGCACUCUAGAGAGACUGCCGGUGACAAACCGGAGGAAGGUGGGGAUGACGUCAAGUCAGCAUGCGCCUUACGUCUUGGGCUACACACGUACUACAAUGCUACGGACAGAGGGCAGCAAGCUAGCGAUAGCAAGCAAAUCCCGUAAACCGUAGCUCAGUUCAGAUCGCAGGCUGCAACUCGCCUACGUGAAGGAGGAAUCGCUAGUAAUUGCAGGUCAGCAUACUGCAGUGAAUUCGUUCCCGGGCCUUGUACACACCGCCCGUCACACCAAGGAAGCUGGCAACGCCCGAAGUCAUUACUCCAACUUUUAGGAGAGGAGGAUGCCUAAGGCA
rnacentral:rRNA from 1 species